ACGUACGGCCAUAUCCGAGACACGCGUACCGGAACCCAUUCCGAAUUCCGAAGUCAAGCGUCCGCGAGUUGGGUUAGUAAUCUGGUGAAAGAUCACAGGCGAACCCCCAAUGCUGUACGUC
rfam:Red algae (P.yezoensis) 5S ribosomal RNA.